CUGUUUCGUUUUUACUUUUGUAAUAUAGCUACUAGAAAAUUUAAAAUUACCUGCAUGGCUUAUUUUUCUAUUAGACAACACUGAUCUAGCUCUUUUAAUUUCUACCCAGGGAGACCCACUGAACUGGAACUAAGAAAAAGAUUCAGCUUACUUCAGAUUGCUAUUUGGCAAUCUUUGUUUCCCUUGCAUCAGGUCAUCAUCUCAGGGUCAUGCGAUCAAGCCCUGCAUCGGGAUCCAUGC
rnacentral:lncRNA from 1 species